GCCCUCAUCGUUUAAUGGUUAAGACAGUUCCCUUUCAUGGAAAAAACGAGGAUUCGAAUUCCUCUAAGGGUG
rnacentral:tRNA from 1 species